AAGCGGCAACAGCUCAAAUUUGAAAUCUGGCCCUCGGGUCCGAGUUGUAAUUUGUAUAGGAUGCUUUUGGCGAGGUGCCUUCCGAGUUCCCUGGAACGGGACGCCAUAGAGGGUGAGAGCCCCGUCUGGUCGGACACCGAGCCUCUGUAAAGCUCCUUCGACGAGUCGAGUAGUUUGGGAAUGCUGCUCAAAAUGGGAGGUAUAUGUCUUCUAAAGCUAAAUAUUGGCCAGAGACCGAUGGCGCACAAGUAGAGUGAUCGAAAGAUGAAAAGCACUUUGAAAAGAGGGUUAAAAAGUACGUGAAAUUGUUGAAAGGGAAGCGCCUAUGACCAGACUUGAGCCCGGUGAAUCAUCCAGCGUUCUCGCUGGUGCACUUUGCCGGGCCCAGGCCAGCAUCAGUUUGGCGCGGGGGAUAAAGGUGACGGGAAUGUGGCUCCCUCGGGAGUGUUAUAGCCCGCUACGUAGUGCCCUGCGCCGGACUGAGGUACGCGCAUUGCAAGGAUGCUUGGCUAAUGGUCAUCAGC
rnacentral:rRNA from 1 species